rnacentral:rRNA from 1 species
AGUAAGCGUGGGUACGUGCCUUAUACUGGGGGAUAACAGCCAGAAAAGACUGCUAAUACCGCAUAAGCGCACAGAACCGCAUGGUUCGGUGUGAAAAACUCCGGUGGUAUAAGAUGGACCCGCGUUGGAUUAGCUAGUUGGCAGGGCAGCGGCCUACCAAGGCGACGAUCCAUAGCCGGCCUGAGAGGGUGAACGGCCACAUUGGGACUGAGACACGGCCCAG